GCGCCCGUAGCUCAGGGGAUAGAGCAACGGUUUCCGGUACCGUGAGUCGGGGGUUCGAAUCCCUCCGGGCGUGCUA
rnacentral:tRNA from 3 species